rfam:Xiphophorus maculatus strain JP 163 A Contig1.340, whole genome shotgun sequence.
UCUGAAACGCAGCGUGGAUACAGAGAAGCUGACGUUUCAGA